rnacentral:lncRNA from 1 species
CACACCUCAGAGCCGGAGGUUUAUGGCUCCCACCUGCUCUGCUGGACAGGAAGUGGAGUCUCUUCCCAGGUCUCUCCACCCUCCGUGGUCCAGGGAGUGGUUCCAGGAAACCGUGCUCGGCUCCCCAGCCCAGGAACAGAGAGCAGGCUGACCAGGCUGGGAAAUGCUGGGUGCUGGAGUUUGAACCCACUCAGCUGAUGGGUGGUUCCGGGGAAGCACACGUGGCUUCCCCGUCUCAGCCUCCCGUGGUCUUCCCUCAGUGACUCACGCAAACGUGACUCAUCUUGGGGAAGGACAUUCAUGUGGCCUGAGGCAGAGGCCUCAGUGGACAGGCCGGGGAAGGCACCGUGAUGCCCUCAGCCCCUUCCCACGAGGAGGCCACCUGUCCGGCCUGCAAGAGGCCCCACAAAGGACCUGUGGACACACCUCCUGCUGGCCGUGCCUCAUCUGCCCUCUGGGAUGGGGGCCCAGCCCUCCUGCAAGGUCCUGCUGUGCCCAUGGUGCAAGGAGGAGGGGCACACAGACCCUGUCACAGUCCCCGUGCCGCUGGGCACUCUGGAGGAGAUGCAUUGUGAGGAACACGGGGAGAAGGUAUGCUUCUUCUGUGGACAUGAUGCUCAGCUCCUGUGCAUGCGCUGUCGAGAGGGCCCCUCCCACCACACCCAUGCCGUGGGCUUCCUGGACGGGGCCUGCCAGCCCAACCAGGUAAGAAGCACGGCUUUACCUUGGGCCUUUGGGGGUGGGACGGUGUCUGGUCACACGUAGUGGAGGGAACGGGAUAGGGGUCCAGGUGAAGGCCCCGGCUGGCACAUCAGGGGACUCCAGUGUAGGGACACGGGGGACACUUCCAGACGGAGAGGGCCAUGGGUCACUUGGAUGUGUGGCUGUUCACAGUCUUGCAGGAACUUCAACUCCAGCCUCAGAGGCCCCUCGGUGAUGGACGCCAAGAACCAUCUCUCUCAUCAUCCAGUCACCAGGUCUGCAAGCGAUUUCUCAGAGGCACCUCUUGGGUCUUUAACUCGGCCUCAUCCCCACAACCGCCACCAAGUCCAGGCUCUCAGUGCUUCACCCAGACAUUGGACGGCCUCGGACGUGCUCCCUGCCUCCGCUCUCUCUGUCUCCGAUCACCCUCCAACCCUCCACGAGGUACAUCUUCCGCAAACACACAGCAGACCACGUUGCUUCCCUGCUCAAAACCCUCCUGUGGCUCCCUCGUGCCCCUCAUCUCCCAGCCGCCCCUCCCAGGACCUGAGCAUCCAGCUGGACUGGCAGCUGGGCACCUGCUCCUUCCUGCUUCCAGCUCCUUCUAACUUAGCUACUUCCUCCGACACUGCUCUCUCUCCCCCUACUCCUUUUUAAACCAUUUCAGCAAUUUCUAUGUGUGCAGUCCAGGGACACACAGUACACUCCACCCCUCUAGACCCACUGUACGUGCUUUCUGUCUCUGAGAUCCCCCCUGUGCCCUUUGUGUUCCCACCUCGGCUGCCAGUUUCGUCGUGACUGACUCAUCUCAGGUGCUGGUCUGUUCAGGUCAGCCCUUUCCACCGCUGAAUCCCUCGGUGGUCAGCCGUGUGCCUGGGACCCAGCAGACAACUUGUAUCUGUGAAUUAAGUCACCCCUUUCUGCCCAUUCUUCUCCCCACAGGACGGUGUCAGGACUCAGUUGGAAGCCCUGAGGGUGGAGGGAGAAGAGAUUGAGGACAUAAAGAGUCGGGAAGACCAGAAGUUCCAAAUGCUUCUGGUAAAGAGCUUCUGGGCACCUUGUCCUCUGGGGGUUUUCUUAGCAGACUGGGGGCCUGGCAGGUGAGAAGAGGCAAACUGUUCUCAUUCACUUCCCUAUGUGUGCACAAGGGCAUUUGGGGUCAAGGUUUUGGAAUCCCAGAGCAUCACAGCUGGAAAUGGUUCUGAUGACUUCUAGCCCAAGAUCCACUUAUCAGCCACUUUACAGAGCAGAAAGCUGAGGUCCAGGAAAGUGAUGCUCCCAAGGCCACACAGCAAAGCCCACGUUCACGCUGACAUGGCUGUAGAACCUUGGCCCUCAGCAACCCUUCCCAUCCCAGUCUCAAUGCCUGAAAGCAUCGCCUUCAGAUGGGAAGCUUGG